rnacentral:rRNA from 1 species
AUGGGGGGAACAUCCUCCAAGGCUAAAUACUCCUGACUGACCGAUAGUGAACCAGUACCGUGAGGGAAAGGCGAAAAGAACCCCUGUGAGGGGAGUGAAAUAGAACCUGAAACCGUGUGCGUACAAGCAGUAGGAGCAGACUUGUUCUGUGACUGCGUACCUUUUGUAUAAUGGGUCAGCGACUUAUAUUUAGUAGCAAGGUUAACCGAAUAGGGGAGCCGUAGCGAAAGCGAGUGUUAACUGCGCGUUUAGUUGCUAGGUAUAGACCCGAAACCGAGUGAUCUAGCCAUGGGCAGGUUGAAGGUUGAGUAACAUCAACUGGAGGACCGAACCGACUAACGUUGAAAAGUUAGCGGAUGACUUGUGGCUGGGGGUGAAAGGCCAAUCAAACUCGGAGAUAGCUGGUUCUCCGCGAAAUCUAUUUAGGUAGAGCGUCAUCCGAAUACCCCGGGGGGUAGAGCACUGGAUGGGUAAUGGGGCCCCACAGGCUUACUGAUCCUAACCAAACUCCGAAUAC